GGGCCUAUAGUUUAAUGGUUAGAACAUAUCGCUCAUAACGAUAAUGUCGUAGGUUCGAGUCCUACUAGGCUCA
rnacentral:tRNA from 1 species